AUUGAACGCUGGCGGCAUGCUUUACACAUGCAAGUCGAACGGCAGCGCGGGCUUCGGCCUGGCGGCGAGUGGCGAACGGGUGAGUAAUACAUCGGAACGUGCCCAGUAGUGGGGGAUAGCUCGGCGAAAGCCGGAUUAAUACCGCAUACGACCUGAGGGUGAAAGCGGGGGAUCUUCGGACCUCGCGCUAUUGGAGCGGCCGAUGGCAGAUUAGCUAGUUGGUGGGGUAAAGGCCUACCAAGGCGACGAUCUGUAGCUGGUCUGAGAGGACGACCAGCCACACUGGGACGGAGACACGGCCCAGACUGCUACGGGAGGCAGCAGUGGGGAAUUUUGGACAAUGGGCGAAAGCCUGAUCCAGCAAUGCCGCGUGUGUGAUGAAGGCCUUCGGGUUGUAAAGCACUUUUGGCGGGAACGAAAAGGACUGUGCCAAUACCACGGUUCGAUGACGGUACCCGCAGAAUAAGCACCGGCUAACUACGUGCCAGCAGCCGCCGUAA
rnacentral:rRNA from 1 species